CACCCCAGGACCCUGGGACCAUGACCUGAGCCAAAAGCAGAUGCUCAACUGAGCCCCCCCGGCACCCCAAGAUGAGGUCUGGAAUGGAACCUGCAACAGCACUGAGGUAUGCCUGGAUCGUGACCAAGGAGAAUCGAGCCAAGGAAUACCAGAUUUAUUUAUUUAUUUGGAAAUGAGAGAGACAGU